GACGAACGCUGGCGGCGUGCCUAAUACAUGCAAGUUGAGCGCUGAAGGUUGGUACUUGUACCAACUGGAUGAGCAGCGAACGGGUGAGUAACGCGUGGGGAAUCUGCCUUUGAGCGGGGGACAACAUUUGGAAACGAAUGCUAAUACCGCAUAAAAACUUUAAACACAAGUUUUAAGUUUGAAAGAUGCAAUUGCAUCACUCAAAGAUGAUCCCGCGUUGUAUUAGCUAGUUGGUGAGGUAAAGGCUCACCAAGGCGAUGAUACAUAGCCGACCUGAGAGGGUGAUCGGCCACAUUGGGACUGAGACACGGCCCAAACUCCUACGGGAGGCAGCAGUAGGGAAUCUUCGGCAAUGGACGAAAGUCUGACCGAGCAACGUCGCGUGAGUGAAGAAGGUUUUCGGAUCGUAAAACUCUGUUGGUAGAGAAGAACGUUGGUGAGAGUGGAAAGCUCAUCAAGUGACGGUAACUACCCAGAAAGGGACGGCUAACUACGUG
rnacentral:rRNA from 1 species